rnacentral:rRNA from 1 species
UACGUAGGGCGCAAGCGUUAUCCGGAAUUAUUGGGCGUAAAGAGCUCGUAGGCGGUUUGUCGCGUCUGCCGUGAAAGUCCGGGGGCUCAACUCCGGAUCUGCGGUGGGUACGGGCAGACUAGAGUGAUGUAGGGGGAGACUGGAAUUCCUGGCGUAGCGGUGAAAUGCGCAGAUAUCAGGAGGAACACCGAUGGCGAAGGCAGGUCUCUGGGCCGCAACUGACGCUGAGGAGCGAAAGCAUGGGGAGCGAACAGG